ACACAUUACGUUACUUAAGGAGUUACAAUACAAUGUAAUUACUUAAUUAUAGAAAAAAAACAAUCAAACUAAAAAACAAAGACCUCGCAACAAAUUACUGAGGGAAACGCCUUAAAUGGUGAGAAGGAAUUUCCACUUCUGUUGAAAUUCCCUUUCACCAAAUGGCUUUGAUUGUAAUCAGUGGAUUUCAGAGCACUUAAGCUUACGAUAUGUCAGAUCAUUCCAUUACUUUCCAAACUGCCAAAUGAAUUUCAAUAAACUACAUAGUUUCCGCUUCUUGAGGGGAGGUGUGAAGAAGACAAUACACAAAAUGUUUGUAUGAGAUGCAUUUCAAAGUUCUUCAGUGGUGCAGACAUUUUCCAUGCGUUAAUAAUUACCACUUAAUUGUCCUCAGUUUUUGCGGAUUGUAUGCAAUGUUUGCCGGAAUGUUGCAAAUUUUCAUGAUGGGAUUCACGGCUUCAAAAACCGUAGGUUGGGUCAUUAGUCGGCCAAUUUCGAUUUGUUACUGAAAACUCAGGGCGCCGAGGAUUAAAGGACUCAAACAGAGGACUUUUUAAACCUCUAACUUAAGUAUCCGAUAGAGCAGUACUACUUUAUUUUUAGAUAUCUACACGGAAGUAGGUACGUGUAUUACGAUUGUGUGAACGCAGGCUAAAUGUAAUCUAAUUCUUUUUUGUUGAUGUUAUUGCAAUUUUUAUUGUGUUGAUUUUGCUUCAUUUCCACCUUCUAGUUAAGGUACAUGUAAGAGGGGCACUCUUAUAUUGCAGGUUUCAGGGUUGAUCCAAGUAGGCCUUCAUGGCUACCGUAACAGCUCGCAAAGAUUAACCUCCCACCAUACACCACUCUGCCUAGCAAUCCCUACUUUGCCUGUUUCCACCUCCUACGACAUUGACAUGGAGAUUGGACUUUAGGAGGCAAAGAUAAAAGUAAAGGAAAAUGUAAACGUAAGGGAAACAAAUUAUUCAAUGUACUGAACAAAAUAUGUUACUAAUGAAAUCAAUUUUGCUUUUUCAGCGAUAGCAGAGGUGUACACCAAGAGAGCAACAGCUUAUUACCGUCUCGGGAAUUUUCGCGAGGCCCUAAAUGAUGCAACUGCUGCAGUCAAGUUGGAACAGACUUCGAUUAAAGCCAUAAAAACAGGAGCAAGAGCUUGUGAGCAUCUACAUUGUUAUGGAGACGCCAUAUCGUGGUGUGAGAAGGGAUUAGCAAUUGACAAGACUAACAAGACAUUACUGGAUUUACGAGCCAGGUGUGUUGGAGAUCGAUUUAAAUCACCAGAGGCAAAGACCAAUCCCAGAACUCACUCAGUGAAAGGCCAGGAAAAUACCAACUCUUUACCAAAAACUACCAAAGAUGUGAAAGCCAACACCGAAGAAGAAACCCGUUAUAUCAACGUUGCCAAAAUUCCCGGAGAUUUCGAAAAAGCCAUCGAGGACCUUGAACUACGUCUAAAAAUUGCCAAAGAAGUGGGAGACAGGGCUGGAGAAGGAAGUUCGUAUGCUAAUCUCGGCAACGCUUAUCAAAGUCUGGGAGAUUUCAAAAAAGC